GGGGGUGACUACUACCUCCUCCUAAGAGUUGAUCCUGGCUCAGUGCGUGCAUGGAUGCACUGCACUUACACUUAGCGGCGGACGGGCGAGUAAUGCUUAGGAAUCUGCCUAUUAGUGGGGGACAACAUUUCGAAAGGAAUGCUAAUACCGCAUACGUCCUACGGGAGAAAGCAGGGGAUCUUCGGACCUUGCGCUAAUAGAUGAGCCUAAGUCGGAUUAGCUAGUUGGUGGGGUAAAGGCCUACCAAGGCGACGAUCUGUAGCGGGUCUGAGAGGAUGAUCCGCCACACUGGGACUGAGACACGGCCCAGACUCCUACGGGAGGCAGCAGUGGGGAAUAUUGGACAAUGGGCGCAAGCCUGAUCCAGCCAUGCCGCGUGUGUGAAGAAGGCCUUAUGGUUGUAAAGCACUUUAAGCGAGGAGGAGGCUACUGAAGUUAAUACCUUCAGAUAGUGGACGUUACUCGCAGAAUAAGCACCGGCUAACUCUGUGCCAGCAGCCGCGGUAAUACAGAGGGUGCAAGCGUUAAUCGGAUUUACUGGGCGUAAAGCGCGCGUAGGCGGCUAAUUAAGUCAAAUGUGAAAUCCCCGAGCUUAACUUGGGAAUUGCAUUCGAUACUGGUUAGCUAGAGUGUGGGAGAGGAUGGUAGAAUUCCAGGUGUAGCGGUGAAAUGCGUAGAGAUCUGGAGGAAUACCGAUGGCGAAGGCAGCCAUCUGGCCUAACACUGACGCUGAGGUGCGAAAGCAUGGGGAGCAAACAGGAUUAGAUACCCUGGUAGUCCAUGCCGUAAACGAUGUCUACUAGCCGUUGGGGCCUUUGAGGCUUUAGUGGCGCAGCUAACGCGAUAAGUAGACCGCCUGGGGAGUACGGUCGCAAGACUAAAACUCAAAUGAAUUGACGGGGGCCCGCACAAGCGGUGGAGCAUGUGGUUUAAUUCGAUGCAACGCGAAGAACCUUACCUGGCCUUGACAUAGUAAGAACUUUCCAGAGAUGGAUUGGUGCCUUCGGGAACUUACAUACAGGUGCUGCAUGGCUGUCGUCAGCUCGUGUCGUGAGAUGUUGGGUUAAGUCCCGCAACGAGCGCAACCCUUUUCCUUAUUUGCCAGCGAGUAAUGUCGGGAACUUUAAGGAUACUGCCAGUGACAAACUGGAGGAAGGCGGGGACGACGUCAAGUCAUCAUGGCCCUUACGGCCAGGGCUACACACGUGCUACAAUGGUCGGUACAAAGGGUUGCUACCUAGCGAUAGGAUGCUAAUCUCAAAAAGCCGAUCGUAGUCCGGAUUGGAGUCUGCAACUCGACUCCAUGAAGUCGGAAUCGCUAGUAAUCGCGGAUCAGAAUGCCGCGGUGAAUACGUUCCCGGGCCUUGUACACACCGCCCGUCACACCAUGGGAGUUUGUUGCACCAGAAGUAGGUAGUCUAACCGCAAGGAGGACGCUACCUCGGUGACUCAUCGG
rnacentral:rRNA from 1 species